UACGAAGGGGGCUAGCGUUGCUCGGAAUCACUGGCGUAAAGCGCACGUAGGCGGAUUGCUAAGUCAGGGGUGAAAUCCUGGAGCUCAACUCCAGAACUGCCUUUGAUACUGGCGACCUUGAGUCCGGGAGAGGUGAGUGGAACUGCGAGUGUAGAGGUGAAAUUCGUAGAUAUUCGCAAGAACACCAGUGGCGAAGGCGGCUCACUGGCCCGGUACUGACGCUGAGGUGCGAAAGCGUGGGGAGCAACAGG
rnacentral:rRNA from 1 species